rnacentral:rRNA from 1 species
CCCUUAGAUGUCCUGGGCCGCACGCGUGCUACACUGACACUUACACCGAGUUUUUCCAAUGCCGAAAGGCCAUUGGUAAUCAGCAAUAAGUGUCGUGAUGGGGAUAGAUCUUUGGAAUUAUUGAUCUUGAACGAGGAAUGCCUAGUAAUCGUAGGUCAUCAGCCUGCGAUGAUACGUCCCUGCCCUUUGUACACACCGCCCGUCGCCCCUACCGAUUUCGAGUGGUUCGGUGAACCUUUCGGACCGGCAAUGCCUCGUGUUGCGCCGGAAAGUCAAGUAAACCAUNUNACUUAUNGGAAGGAGAANUCGUANCA